rnacentral:rRNA from 1 species
AGUGAACGCUGGCGGUGGGCCUAACACAUGCAAGUCGAACGGCAGCACAGUAAGCGCUCGCCCUUACGGUUGGCGGCGGGCGGACGGGUAACGCGUACAUAGCAAACUUCUUUUUCGGGGGUGAUAACGUGGGAACACUUCCGCUACUACAGAAUACGUCGUACGGCAGAAAGCAAGGGUUCUUCGCGCCUUGGCCGUCGGAAAGAGCCGAGGCCGGAUUAGCUAGUUGGCGGGGUAACGGCCCACCAAGGCAACGAUCCGUAGCUGGUCUGAGAGGAUGAUCAGCCACACUGGAACUGAGACACGGUCCAGACUCCUACGGGAGGCAGCAGUGGGGAAUAUUGCACAAUGGGCGCAAGCCUGAUCCAGCCAUACCGCGUGGGUGAAGAAGGUCUUCGGGUCGUAAAGCCCUUUUGUUGGGAAAGAAAAGCAGCAUGUUAAUCCCCCGCUGUUCUGACGGUACCCAAUGAAUAAGCACCGGCUAACUUCGUG